CGGGACUGCGCGGAGGCGACUACAGACGUGUCGGGGGUCCGGGGCCUGUCGUGGCUGCUAAGCGCUCGGCGCCUGGCGCUGGCGCUGGCCAAGGCGCCUUUACUGUUCCAGGAUACAGAUCUCCUGAUUCAGUGUCCAGUGCCUUUUGAACUGACCGCAAGCCCUCCUGGACGAUUGGAGCUGUAAUGUGGAAAGGGCUCUGAUGGAGCCGGUUAAAAUGCUUCAUUAUCUGCAGAAUACCACAUACAGUAAUACGAUCUGGAUGUUUUUCCCCUCCUCCACUAAGUAGCAUAAGUGAAGACUUCCCAGAGGAAGUGCACCUUUUUCAUCUCGUAUCUGAGUCAGUGAGUAUCCUUUUUGGAAACAAGCUUCAUCCUGGUUUUCUAGAGUGCCAAGUCAGGGUGGAAAGGAGGACCUGGGG
rnacentral:lncRNA from 1 species